rnacentral:rRNA from 1 species
UAGGGAAUCUUCCACAAUGGACGAAAGUCUGAUGGAGCGACGCCGCGUGAGUGAAGAAGGUUUUCGGAUCGUAAAGCUCUGUUGUUGGUGAAGAAGGAUAGAGGCAGUAACUGGUCUUUAUUUGACGGUAAUCAACCAGAAAGUCACGGCUAACUACGUGCCA